AAGGGAUUAGAUACCCCCUGUAGUCNUAGCAGUAAACGGUGCGCGCUUGGUGUAGGAGGACUCGACCCNUUCUGUGCCGGAGCUAACGCGUUAAGCGCNCCGCNUGGGGAGUACGGUCGCAAGACUAAAACUCAAAGAAAUUGACGGGGACCCGCACAAGCGGUGGAGUAUGUGGCUUAAUUCGAUGCAGCGCGAAGAACCUUACCCAGACUUGACAUGUAUUGCUAAGCACGUGAAAGCGUGUGACCCUUCGGGGACCUUACACAGGUGCUGCAUGGCCGUCGUCAGCUCGUGUCGUGAGAUGUUUGGUUAAGUCCAGCAACGAGCGCAACCCCUGUGAAUAGUUGCCAGCACGUAAUGGUGGGGACUCUAUUCAGACCGCCCGGGUCAACCGGGAGGAAGGUGGGGAUGACGUCAGGUCAGUAUGGCCCUUACGUCUGGGGCUGCACACGUACUACAAUGCCCAGUACAAUGAGAACCGAGACCGCGAGGUGGAGGAAAUCUGCAAAACUGGGCCCAGUUCGGAUUGGAGGCUGCAACUCGCCUCCAUGAAGUUGGAAUCGCUAGUAAUGGCACAUCAGCUACGGUGCCGUGAAUACGUUCCCGGGUCUUGUACACACCGCCCGUCACAUCAUGGAAGCCGGUCGCACCCGAAGUGUCUGCGUCAACAAUGGCAGGGCCCUAAGGUGUAGCUGGUAACUAGGAUGAAGUCGUAANCAAGGUAA
rnacentral:rRNA from 1 species